rnacentral:lncRNA from 1 species
AUGGUGCGAAUGAAUGUUCUGGCAGAGGCUUUCAAGAGCUUCCACAACACUGAGAAGAGAGGCAAACACCAGGUCCUCAUCAGGCUGUGUUGUAAAGUCAUUGUUCGGUUCUUCGAUGGUGAAGCACGGCUACACUAGUGAAUUCGAGGUCAUUGAUGAUCACAGAGCUGGGAAGAUCGUUGUGAACCUCACAGGAAGGUUGAACAAGCGUGGAGUUAUAAGCCCUAGAUUUGAUGUUCGAUUCAAAGACCUUGAGAAAUAAAUUGCAGAACGAUCUGCUCCCAUCGCAGCAAUUUGGUUUCAUUGUGCUGACAACCUCGGCUGGCAUCAUGGACCAUGGAGAAGGGAGACGAAAACGUACAGGAGGGAAAAAUCCUGGGGUUAUUUUU